UGUUGUUUGCUUCUUUCCGGUGUGCUUCUUCGGGUUGGUUCCGUUAACGUCGUGUUUGUGAGGAUUCGUUCGACUUCAUCCGUUUGUCUUCUUCAUGGACUCGUUCUUCUUCCUGAGAUACCGCCUCGACCACGCUCAGUGGAGCUCGCCAUCGAGGCUAGGGCCCAGGAUCUUCUGGCGGAGGCAAAUAGGCAGGCUAAGCAGAGGGAGAUGGAGCUGGACGAGAGGACGACUAGUCUGUUGGAGGCGUAGAGGAACCGGAACGACGCGUCUCACCGGGCCCUAUACGAGCUCCUCGUGUCCGUGUGCGAGAAAAACGGUUAGACCCCUCCGCCGAUGCCCCAGAUUGCUAUAGCGGACACGCAUGCCUCCCGACAAGCAUCGACCGAUCCUUCUCCGUGUCGCACUGGCGCAACCCCGACCCCGACUGGUCCUUCUCCGUCUGGCACUGCCGCAAACCUGACCGGUCCUUCACCUCCGUGAUGACAGUAAGUUUUCUCUAGUGUUUUGCUUACCAAAUGCAUAAAGACCUAGACUUAGCUUUAUUUCCUCCAAAAUGCUUACCAUAAUGACCUAGAUUUAGCUAAUCUUCCUCCAAAAUGACAUAAUUAGCUUACUUAGCUCCAAAAUGAUCUAUACUUAGCUUUGUUUCCUCCGAAAUGACCUAACUUAGCUCUAAUAUGCUAAGUUAUCUCUAAUAUGCUUAGUUAGCUAGGUUUGCUCAAAAAUGACAUACACUUAGCUUACAUAUGUAAAACAUGGCAUAAUUAGCUUACUUAUGUUUGAAAUGGCAUAACAAUCUUGAUAACAUCAUAUAUGUCAUAUAGUUAGCUUAUUUUCCUCGAAAAUGACAUAAUAAGCCUAAUUAGCUCCAAAAUGAUCAAUUUUACCUAAGUUAGCUCCAAAAUGACCUAAGUUAGCUCUAAAAUGCUAAAUUAGCUCUAAUAUGCUUAGUUACCUGGGUUAGCUCAAUAAAGACCUAUAAUUAGCUUACUUAUGUCAAAAAUGGCAUAAGAUGCGUAGUUAACUCAAAAAUGACCAAGUUUACAUAGGUUACCUCCAAUAUGAUCCAUUUUACCUAGGUUAGCUGCAAAAUGACCUAUUUACCUAGCUUAGCUCUAAAAUGACCUACAUACUUGAUACGUCUCCAUCGUAUCUAUUUUUCCAAAUACUUUU